CCCUUAGAUGUUCUGGGCCGCACGCGCGCUACACUGAUGCAUUCAACGAGUCUAAAACCUGGUCUGAUAGGGCUGGGUAAUCUUUUGAAUGUGCAUCGUGAUUGGGAUAGAUGAUUGCAAUUCUUCAUCUUCAACGAGGAAUGCCUAGUAAACGCAAGUCAUCAGCUUGCAUUGAUUACGUCCCUGCCCUUUGUACACACCGCCCGUCGCUCCUACCGAUUGAAUGUUCCGAUGAAUACCAUGGACUGAGAGUAUGAAUGGGUUCGCCUAUUUCUGCUUCUCGGGAGGUGGAGUAAAUCUUAACAUUUAGAGGAAGGAGAAGUCGUAACA
rnacentral:rRNA from 1 species